GGGGCUGAUCUUGGAAUCGACACUUAAGAAAAGAUAACGUUAUGAUGCAAGUCAAGAUUGAAUCGUUCUUGUAAAUAAGAUUCAAACUUUAAAUGCAAACAACAUUGCACCUUUUUCUCGUCAACUUGCAAUAGCGUAACCGAUCUAGGAAACGUAAAACCAAGUUAAUUAUUACUUUUAAUAUCAGAUUAUGAAGAGAGUAGCAUACUCUGAUUUUAAAAUUCCAUCUCUCACUUGUGACAUAUAGAUUUCAAAGCAACCGCUCUUUACGAUUUGAAUAAAGAUAAACUUGUGAAUGAGUAAGUUAGUUCUUCUCAAGUGGACGUGG
rnacentral:tmRNA from 1 species